UGAACGCUGGCGGCAGGCCUAACACAUGCAAGUCGAGCGGAUGAAGGGAGCUUGCUCCUGGAUUCAGCGGCGGACGGGUGAGUAAUGCCUAGGAAUCUGCCUGGUAGUGGGGGAUAACGUCCGGAAACGGGCGCUAAUACCGCAUACGUCCUGAGGGAGAAAGUGGGGGAUCUUCGGACCUCACGCUAUCAGAUGAGCCUAGGUCAGAUUAGCUAGUUGGUGGGGUAAAGGCCUACCAAGGCGACGAUCCGUAACUGGUCUGAGAGGAUGAUCAGUCACACUGGAACUGAGACACGGUCCAGACUCCUACGGGAGGCAGCAGUGGGGAAUAUUGGACAAUGGGCGAAAGCCUGAUCCAGCCAUGCCGCGUGUGUGAAGAAGGUCUUCGGAUUGUAAAGCACUUUAAGUUGGGAGGAAGGGCAGUAAGUUAAUACCUUGCUGUUUUGACGUUACCAACAGAAUAAGCACCGGCUAACUUCGUG
rnacentral:rRNA from 1 species